GCAGUAAUAGUUUAAUGGUAAAAUGUCGUGCUUCCGACCCGAAGUUUCGAGUUCGAUUCUCGAUUACUGCUCCA
rnacentral:tRNA from 1 species